rnacentral:rRNA from 1 species
CCUACGGGUGGCAGCAGUGGGGAAUAUUGGACAAUGGGCGAAAGCCUGAUCCAGCCAUGCCGCGUGUGUGAAGAAGGCCUUCGGGUUGUAAAGCACUUUCAGUGGGGAAGAAAGCCUUGGGGCUAAUACCCUCGAGGAAGGACAUCACCCACAGAAGAAGCACCGGCUAACUCCGUGCCAGCAGCCGCGGUAAUACGGAGGGUGCGAGCGUUAAUCGGAAUUACUGGGCGUAAAGCGCGCGUAGGCGGUCUGAUAAGCCGGUUGUGAAAGCCCCGGGCUCAACCUGGGAACGGCAUCCGGACCUGUCAGGCUAGAGUGCAGGAGAGGAAGGUAGAAUUCCCGGUGUAGCGGUGAAAUGCGUAGAGAUCGGGAGGAAUACCAGUGGCGAAGGCGGCCUUCUGGACUGACACUGACGCUGAGGUGCGAAAGCGUGGGUAGCAAACAGGAUUAGAUACCCCGGUAGUC